rnacentral:rRNA from 1 species
GACGAACGCUGGCGGCGUGCUUAACACAUGCAAGUCGAACGGUAAGGCCCUUCGGGGUACAUGAGUGGCGAACGGGUGAGUAACACGUGGGUGAUCUGCCCUGCACUUCGGGAUAAGCCUGGGAAACUGGGUCUAAUACCGGAUAGGACCACUGCCUGCAUGGGUGGUGGUGGAAAGCUUUUGCGGUGUGGGAUGGGCCCGCGGCCUAUCAGCUUGUUGGUGGGGUGAUGGCCUACCAAGGCGACGACGGGUAGCCGGCCUGAGAGGGUGACCGGCCACACUGGGACUGAGACACGGCCCAGACUCCUACGGGAGGCAGCAGUGGGGAAUCUAGGACAAUGGGCGCAAGCCUGAUGCAGCGACGCCGCGUGAGGGAUGACGGCCUUCGGGUUGUAAACCUCUUUCAGCACCGACGAAGCGCAAGUGACGGUAGGUGCAGAAGAAGGACCGGCCAACUACGUGCCAGCAGCCGCAGUAA